rnacentral:rRNA from 1 species
GAUGAACGCUGGCGGCGUGCCUAAUACAUGCAAGUCGAGCGAACAGAUAAGGAGCUUGCUCCUUUGACGUUAGCGGCGGACGGGUGAGUAACACGUGGGUAACCUACCUAUAAGACUGGAAUAACUCCGGGAAACCGGGGCUAAUGCCGGAUAACAUUUAGAACCGCAUGGUUCUAAAGUGAAAGAUGGUUUUGCUAUCACUUAUAGAUGGACCCGCGCCGUAUUAGCUAGUUGGUAAGGUAACGGCUUACCAAGGCAACGAUACGUAGCCGACCUGAGAGGGUGAUCGGCCACACUGGAACUGAGACACGGUCCAGACUCCUACGGGAGGCAGCAGUAGGGAAUCUUCCGCAAUGGGCGAAAGCCUGACGGAGCAACGCCGCGUGAGUGAUGAAGGUCUUCGGAUCGUAAAAUUCUGUUAUUAGGGAAGAACAAAUGUGUAAGUAACUGUGCACGUCUUGACGGUACCUAAUCAGAAAGCCACGGCUAACUACGUG